AGAAGAAGAAGAAAAAACCCGGGUUCAAACCGAAUCAGAAACAACAACAACACAACGAUGUCGUCUCCGUUCCACCGUCGAUCUCAAUCGGAAGGAAUCGGAAGGAAUCGAAUCUAAGAAGGCUGUGUCCCCUGAUAAACUCGCCCAAUUGUGGACCGUUGAUCCCAAACGAGCCAAGAGCACAAACUGCGACAAGGCUCGCCGACUCACAGCCGUUAAACUCCGACAGAGCGCCGCCGUUCACCUCCGUCAGAGAACACAAAGCCAUUGCACUUCUCUAUAUCUAUCUCCCUCUUCCUCAAUGAAAAGGUUACGAGGACGUGGAUAGUAUCUAUGCAUCUAAUGAAGACUUUAAGAACAUGAAAGAGAAAGAAAGGGUUAGAGGGACUCAUCUGCUGGAAUACUUUGUCAGUAGGUGUAAUGAAAU